rnacentral:lncRNA from 1 species
GGCCCCAGCCGCCUCUCGCGUCCGCAGCCCGCCCGGGGCGGCAGCAGCAGCAGCGGCUGCGGCGGCCCCCGCGCGUCCCUAGCCCGGAGGCCCGCGCUCUGCGCCCGCGGGGCGCGCUAAGUGCGCACAACAAGUGGUCCGGGCUCCGCCGGCCGUCGGGCCGCGCGGCGCGUCCCAGCCCGGCAAUAGAGCUUGGGGGAACCGCCGAGCGCCAUGCGGAGCCAUGGAGCCGGGCUGGCCCUGUGGACCGCGCUGAGCCUGCUGCAGACUGGACUGGGGGAGCCAGUGAGAUGCAACUUCACCUUGACAGAGUCCAGGGUCUCCAGCCGGUCCGUGUCUCUCCAGUGGAGAACUUUGGCGUUCCCCUGUAACUUUAACCUCACCUACAGCAGUGACACGUCGGGGGUCGCGUGGUGCCACCCUGUACGGAUAGACAACACCACCUAUGGAUGUAACUCCAAGGAUUUACAAGCAGGAACCAUCUACAAUUUCACUAUUAUGUCUCUGGAUGGAGAAAAGAAAACUAUGGUCUUGCAAACAGAUCCUUUACCUCCUGCUAGGUUUGAAGUCAGUAAAGAGAAAACUACUUCUACCAGUUUGCAUGUUUGGUGGACUCCUUCCUCGGGAAAAGUCACCUGGUAUGAGGUACAGUUACUUGACGAUAACCAAAAGAUACAGAUGGCCCAAAUUCAAGAAAGAGCUUCACGGAAUGAAUACACGUUUUUCAACCUCACUGCUGGUAAUAAGUAUAAAAUUGCCAUCACAGCUGUUUCUGGGGAUAAACGUUCCUCUACAAUGUAUGCCAAUGGAUCAACAGUGCCAUCCCCAGUGAAAGACAUUGGUGUUUUGGCGAAAACUAAUUCGCUCCUGAUUUCCUGGUCACGUGGCUCUGGGAACGUGGAACGAUACCAGCUGAUGUUAAUGGAUAAAGGGAUUCUAGUUCAUAGUAAUGCUGUGGACACUACUUUCUACACUUUUCAUGGACUGACGCCUGGUCACCUCUAUAAUGUCACCAUUGUUAGUGAGGCUGCAGGGCUGCAAAACUACAGAUGGAAAUCAGCCAGGACAACCCCCAUGGAAGUCUCAAAUCUGAAGGUGACGAAUGAAGGCACUACGACUUCUCUAAAAGUCAAGUGGCAAAAGCCUUCCGGAAAUGUGGAUUUCUACAACAUUACCCUGUCUUACCAAGGGACCAUCAAACAAUCCAGAAUAUUAGCAUCCCAGAUUACUGAAAGUCAAUUUAAAGACUUGGCCCCUGGACGACUUUAUCAAGUCACCAUCAGCUGUGUGUCUGGUGAAUUAUCUGCUCACAAGACAGCAGUGGGCAGAACAGUUCCCCUGGCUGUCCUUCAUCUUCGUGUCAAACAUGCCAAUGAAACCUCGCUGACCAUCAUGUGGCAGACCCCUGCAGCAGAAUGGGAGAAAUACAUCAUUUCACUCAUCGACAGAGACCUCUUACUCAUCCAUAAGUUGCUUCCCAGAGAUGCCAAAGAAUUCACUUUCACUGACCUGGUGCCUGGACGAAAAUACAUAGCUACAGUCACCAGUAUUAGUGGAGACCUCAAAAAUUCAUCUUUAACAAAAGGAAGAACAGUGCCUGCCCAAGUGACUGGUUUGCAUGUGGCCAACCAAGGGACAACAAACAGUCUGUUUACUAACUGGACCCAGGCCUUGGGAGACAUAGAGUUCUACCAAGUCCUACUGAUCCAUGAAAAUGUGGUCAUCAAAAAUGAAAGUGUCUCCAGUGAGACUAGCAGAUACAGCUUCCACUCCCUCAAAUCAGGCAGCCUCUACUCCGUGGUGGUAACAACAGUAAGCGGAGGGAUCUCUUCCCGACAAGUGGUGGUGGAGGGAAGGACAGUCCCUUCCAGUGUGAGUGGAGUAACGGUAAACAACUCUGGCCGCAGUGACUACCUCAGCAUAUCCUGGCUGCCGGCUCCCGGAGACGUGGAUAGCUAUGUGGUGACGCUCUCCCACGGCGGCAGGGUGGUCCAGUCCCUCGUGACUGCCAAGUCUGUCGGUGAAUGUUCCUUCAGCUCCCUCACCCCAGGCCGCCUCUACAACGUGACCAUAACUACGAGGAGCGGCAAAUAUGAAAGUCAUUCCUUCAGCCAAGAACGGACAGUGCCUAACAAGGUCCAGGGAGUCAGUAUCAGCAACUCGGCCAGGAGUGACUAUUUAAAGGUAUCCUGGGUACAUGCCUCUGGAGACUUUGAUCACUAUGAAGUCACCAUUAAAAACAAAAACAACUUCAUUCAAACAAAAAGCGUUCCCAAGUCUGAAAAUGAGUGUGUAUUUGUUAAACUAGUCCCUGGACGGUUGUACAGUGUUACUGUUAGUACAAAAAGUGGACAAUAUGAAGCCAGUGAACAAGGGAAUGGAAGAACAAUCCCAGAGGCUGUUAAGGAUCUCACGCUGAAGAACAGGAGCACUGAGGACCUUUGGGUGACAUGGACACGAGCUGAUGGGGAUGUCGACCAGUACGAGAUCCAGCUGCUCUUCAACGAUAUGAAAGUAUUUCCUCCUUUCCACCUCGUCAGCACUGUGACUGAGUAUCGAUUCACCUCCCUCACACCAGGGCGCAAGUAUAAAAUUCUUGUCUUGACGAUUAGUGGAGAUGUCCAGCAGUCAGCCUUCAUUGAAGGCUUCACAGUUCCUAGUGUGGUCAAAAAUAUUCACAUUUCUCCCAGUGGAGCAACAGAUAGCCUGACAGUGAACUGGACUCCUGGUGGGGGUGAUGUGGAUUCCUAUGUGGUGUCAGCAUUCAGGCAGAAUCAAAUGGUCGAGUCUCAGACUGUCCUCAAGCAUGUCUCUGAGCACACGUUCCAGAGGCUGGAGGCUGGCGAGCAGUACCGGAUUGUGAUCGCUUCUGUCAGCGGGUCCCAGAAGAACCAGAUCGAUGCGCUUGGGCGGACAAUCCCAGCAUCUGUCCAGGGAAUAACUGCAGACAAUGCAUACAGUAGUCAUUCUUUAAUAGUAAGUUGGCAAAAAGCUGUUGGCAUGGCAGAAAGAUAUGACAUCCUACUUCUGAGUGAAAAUGGGAUCCUCCUAAGUAACACAUCAGAGGCAGCCACCACGAAGCAGCACAAGUUUGAAGACCUAACACCAGGAAAGAAGUACAAGAUACAGAUCCUAACUGUCAGCGGAGGCCUCUUUAGCAAGGAAGCCCAAACAGAAGGCCGAACAGUCCCAGCAGCUGUCACCAAUCUGAGGAUCACAGAGAACUCCACGCGACACCUGUCCUUUAGCUGGACCCCCUCAGAGGGGGAGCUCAACUCCUACAACAUCUUUCUGUACAACCCAGAUCGAACUCUUAAGGAUCGAGCUCAAGUUGACCCGCAAGUCCAGAGCUUCUCCUUCCAGAACUUGCUACAAGGUCGAAUGUACAGAAUGGUGAUUGUAACUCACAGUGGGGAGCUGUCAAAUGAGUCUUUCAUAUUUGGGAGAACAGUCCCAGCCACUGUGAGUAACCUCAAAGGAUCCAAUCAAAACAUGACAGACAGCCUCUGGUUCAGCUGGAGUCCAGCCCCUGGGGACUUUGACUUUUAUGAACUGAUUCUCUAUAACCCCAAUGGCACAAAGAAGGAAAACUGGAAAGACAAGGACCUGACAGAGUGGCGUUUUCAUGGCCUCGUUCCCGGAAGGAAGUAUACUCUGUGUGUGAUAACUCACAGUGGAGAUCUCAGCAACAGGGCCAUGGGAGAGAGCAGAACAGCCCCAAGUCCUCCCAGUCUUAUGUCAUUUGCUGAUGUUACAAACACAUCACUGGCCAUCACCUGGAAAGGCCCACCAGACUGGACAGACUAUGAUGACUUUGAGCUGCAGUGGUUCCCCAGAGAUGCCAUCACAGUCUUCAACCCCUACAGCAACAGAAAAUCAGAAGGACGCAUCGUGCAUGGUCUUCGUCCAGGGAGAUCUUAUCAAUUUAGCGUCAAGACCGUCAGUGGUGAUUCCUGGAAAACCUACAGCAAACCAAUUUUUGGAUCUGUGAGGACAAAGCCAGACAAGAUACAGAACCUGCAUUGCCGCCCUCAGAACUCUACAGCCAUUGCCUGUUCUUGGAUCCCUCCCGAUUCUGACUUUGAUGGGUACAGCAUUGAGUGCCGGAAAAUGGACACUCAAGAAGUUGAGUUCUCCAGAAAGCUGGAGAAAGAAAAAUCUCUGCUUAACAUCAUGAUGUUGGUGCCUCAUAAGAGGUACCUGGUGUCUAUCAAGGUGCAGUCGGCAGGCAUGACCAGCGAGGUGGUUGAGGACAGCACCAUCACCAUGAUAGACCGCCCCCCUCCUCCACCUCCACAUAUUCGUGUGAAUAAAAAGGAUGUGCUAAUUAGCAAAUCUUCCAUCAACUUUACUUUCAACUGCAGCUGGUUCAGCGACGCCAAUGGAGCUGUGAAAUACUUCACAGUGGUGGUGAGAGAGGCUGAUGGCAAUGACGAGCUGAAGCCAGAGCCACAGCACCCCCUGCCCUCCUACCUGGAAUACAGGCACAACGCCUCCAUUCGGGUGUAUCAGACCGAUUACUUUGCCAGCAAAUGUGCCGAAAGUCCUGACAGCAACUCUAAGAGUUUCAACAUUAAGCUUGGAGCAGAGAUGGAGAGCCUGGGUGGAAAAUGUGAUCCCAAUCAGCAAAAAUUUUGUGACGGGCCACUGAAGCCGCGCACGGCCUACAGAAUCAGCAUUCGGGCUUUCACCCAGCUAUUUGAUGAGGACCUGAAGGAAUUCACAAAACCACUCUAUUCAGACACAUUUUUCUCUUUGCCCAUCACCACUGAGUCAGAGCCUCUGUUUGGAGUUAUUGAAGGUGUGAGUGCUGGUCUGUUCUUAAUUGGCAUGCUUGUCGCUGUUGUCGCCUUAUUCAUCUGCAGACGGAAAGCCAGCCAUGGUCGAGAAAGGCCCUCUGCCCGUCUGAGCAUUCGUCGGGAUCGACCACUGUCAGUCCACUUGAACUUGGGCCAGAAAGGUAGCAGGAAGACUUCUUGCCCAAUAAAAGUAAAUCAGUUUGAAGGGCACUUCAUGAAGCUGCAGGCUGACUCCAACUAUCUUCUAUCCAAGGAAUACGAGGAUUUAAAAGACGUGGGUCGAAACCAAUCAUGUGACAUUGCACUCUUGCCGGAGAACAGAGGGAAAAAUCGAUACAACAACAUAUUGCCCUAUGAUUCCUCUCGAGUGAAGCUGUCCAACGUGGAUGAUGACCCAUGCUCUGACUAUAUCAAUGCCAGCUACAUCCCUGGCAACAACUUCAGGAGAGAAUACAUCGCAACUCAGGGACCUCUUCCUGGCACCAAGGAUGACUUCUGGAAAAUGGCGUGGGAACAGAAUGUUCACAACAUCGUCAUGGUGACCCAGUGUGUGGAGAAGGGCCGAGUAAAGUGUGACCAUUAUUGGCCAGCGGACCAAGAUUCCCUCUACUAUGGGGACCUCAUUCUGCAGAUGCUGUCGGAAUCCGUGCUGCCCGAGUGGACCAUCCGGGAAUUUCGGAUAUGCAGUGAGGAACAGUUGGAUGCACACAGACUCAUCCGCCACUUCCACUACACCGUAUGGCCAGACCACGGUGUCCCGGAGAGCACCCAGUCCCUGAUCCAGUUUGUGAGAACUGUCAGGGACUACAUCGACAGGACCCCCGGGGCCGGGCCCACUGUGGUGCACUGCAGUGCUGGUGUGGGUAGGACUGGAACCUUUAUUGCAUUGGAUCGAAUCCUCCAGCAAUUAGACUCCAAAGAUUCUGUGGACAUUUAUGGAGCUGUGCAUGACCUAAGACUUCACAGGGUUCACAUGGUCCAGACCGAGUGUCAGUAUGUGUACCUACAUCAGUGUGUAAGAGAUGUGCUCAGAGCAAGGAAGCUACGGAGUGAACAAGAAAACCCUUUGUUUCCAAUCUACGAAAAUGUGAAUCCAGAGUAUCACAGAGAUUCAGGCUAUUCAAGGCAUUGA